rnacentral:lncRNA from 1 species
UGGGCAAUUAAGAUAUGGAAGAUUCUAGAAAACAAAGGAGAAGUGUUUGUGUUUUGAGGUUUGUGCAUUAUGCUUAAGUUCAACCAUGGAGUCUUCUAGAUUGUACAUUUGACAGAAUCUGGUGGAAUGUAGAUGAUAUCCAACGACCAGUAAUGCUCGGAUUUGCCAUCUCUGUACCGUCGGAUUGACUUCAUCCAACGAGCAACUUUCAUAGUUAUUCGCACACUAUAUAGGUGUAUAGAUGUGUGUGUAUAUAUAUAUAUAUACUCCUAUAUAGUGUAGGAAUAAGUUUGAAUGCUAGCCGUUGAUACUGCUGCAUCCAACGGUAGAGGCAUGGGCAAAUCCCUGCAUUUUAAGCCGUAGAUACAUUGAAUCGAACAGUGCACACUCUAUUGGAGUUCAGCUCUAGAAACUUCGAUCGCACCCGCGUGCCCAGCAGCCGCUGGCCUCUGUUCUCUGAGAUGUCUGUCUCUCGCGACCCAACCCAAAGCGUCCUGGUUCUCCCCUCUUCUCUUUGACCGAGAGUCAGGUAACAUCUUUGCAGAUCCAUUCUACCUGGUCCUAAUCCAUCCCUCUGGCCAUACUGAACUUGAAAUCCAUUGAUCAGCCUACAAAACCAAGAACCUGAGCCAACUCGGUCUAUGUAAAAUUAGAACGGAUAUUAAAUUGAAAAUAGUAAACUCCGAACUUUGGAAACAAAUGAUAGAGUAACUGUAAUGAUUCAGCAUCAAAGGAACAUGCAAACUGCAUCAUGAAAGAAAAGCAUUAAGAAAAUUUUGCACGACGACGGCCUAAAGAAUAAAGCACCUUCCAAUUUCCUUCUUUAUUGCUCCAGCAAAAACUUCUAAGCCCUCGGCACCCUCGCUCCAGCGACACCAUUUCUUGUCACUCCGUGGUGCCUUGAAGCACUUAAACUCCACAUAGAGCUGCGCCAACUUCUGCCCCCUCGCUCCAACGGGUCUUUCCUCGAGAUGGACCAGGUAGAGAGGAAGAUUAGUACGACCUGUGGGAGUGUGAGGGAAACGCCCUAGCAAGAAGAUGACAGACGGAGGAAGCGAGGCAGCAGCAGGCAGAAGACUGGAGCAAGGAUGGCCGACGAGAGAAGAAGGCAAGCCAUUGAUUUUGCCUCUUCA